rnacentral:rRNA from 1 species
AAGUCGAACGGUAGCACAGAGAGCUUGCUCUCCGGUGACGAGUGGCGGACGGGUGAGUAAUGUCUGGGAAACUGCCUGAUGGAGGGGGAUAACUACUGGAAACGGUAGCUAAUACCGCAUAACGUCGCAAGACCAAAGAGGGGGACCUUCGGGCCUCUUGCCAUCAGAUGUGCCCAGAUGGGAUUAGCUAGUAGGUGGGGUAACGGCUCACCUAGGCGACGAUCCCUAGCUGGUCUGAGAGGAUGACCAGCCACACUGGAACUGAGACACGGUCCAGACUCCUACGGGAGGCAGCAGUGGGGAAUAUUGCACAAUGGGCGCAAGCCUGAUGCAGCCAUGCCGCGUGUAUGAAGAAGGCCUUCGGGUUGUAAAGUACUUUCAGCGGGGAGGAAGGUGUUGUGGUUAAUAACCACAGCAAUUGACGUUACCCGCAGAAGAAGCACCGGCUAACUCCGUGCCAGCAGCCGCGGUA